rnacentral:rRNA from 1 species
UACGUAGGGUGCAAGCGUUAAUCGGAAUUACUGGGCGUAAAGCGUGCGCAGGCGGCUUUGUAAGACAGAUGUGAAAUCCCCGGGCUCAACCUGGGAACUGCAUUUGUGACUGCAUGGCUAGAGUGCGGCAGAGGGGGAUGGAAUUCCGCGUGUAGCAGUGAAAUGCGUAGAUAUGCGGAGGAACACCGAUGGCGAAGGCAAUCCCCUGGGCCUGCACUGACGCUCAUGCACGAAAGCGUGGGGAGCGAACAGG